rnacentral:lncRNA from 1 species
UAAAAAAAUUACUUUACUCUAGGGGUAGGACUUGAUGGCAUAUGCCUUUAGUCCCAACACUUUGGAGGCAGUCAGGUGGAUCUCUGUGAGUUCGAGGCCAGCCUGGUCUACGGAGUGAGUUCCAGGACAUCCAGGGCAACACAGAGAAACCCUGUCUCAAAAAAAAAAAAAAAAAAAAAAAAAAAAACCAAUAAACAAACAAACAUUUAUGGAAAGGGACUUUGUAAAAAUCAACCAAACAACAACUCUCUCCUGUCAGCAUAUAAUCUUCCUGAUUAAUGCAGACAAACUUACUUUUUAAAAUAAUUCACUGUCCCAGUAAAUAGGACAUUUAUAUUUGUCUUCAUUUCCUAAGUGUUAAAUUAUCAAAAACCACUUCUAAGCCAGCCAGUCCACAGGGAGGUCACUCUAGAGUCUUUCUCCUCUCCUCCAUGUGGGUGUCUAUUCCACAGCUCUGCUUUUGAAAAAUUGAAAUGUAAUUCACAUUCUUUAAAGUUCACUCACUUAAAGUGUGCCAUGUCACAAUUUUUAAUAUAUAUACAGAGUUGUGCAAUUAACAGCUGCCAUUUUUAGAACAUUUUUUAUCCUAUCCAGUGUCCAGUAACAAUCCAAAGUGCGUAUGAAACAGCACUACCACCAAAUAGUGAAAGUUUUCUUGAGAACAAAGUCGAAGCUGCUGAAGUGCCGGUCUCCAGAGUAUAUGGCAGCACAGAGUGACCGGAGAGUCAACUCAGUGGUUAGGAGCACUGGCUGCUCCUGCAGAGGACCCAGGUUUGGUUCCAGCACCCACAUAACAGCUCACAACUGUCAAUAACUCCCGUCCAGAUCCAACACCCUCUUCUGCCAUCCCUGGGCUCUGUAUGUGAGUGGUGUACAGGUAUACAUGCAGGCAAAAAUACUCACAUAUGUUAUUUUUAAAGUAUACUACAGCGUUGCAGUCAAACAGCCUACUAGAAACUUGCCAGGUAGCUCAGUGGCGCACACUUCCUUCAUAUAUGUAAAAGGCCUUGAGUUUGCUUGUCAGAUACACACACAUACACACCACACCCACACACCCACACACACACACACACACACACACACACACACACACAUACUCAUACACUCUCAGCAUAACAUUAGCAUUAAUACAGACACACAGACCAAUGGAACACAAUGGAGAGCUGGCUUGCAACAAAGGUGCUACAAACACACACACACAGUGAAGAAAGUGCAAGCAUUCUAAUUAGUGGUAGGGGGAAGAUUAGCCCUAGAUUGAUGUUUCUUGAGACAUACAUUGGGUAUAUAGGGGGAAAGUUCAAUAUCAUUAAUCACCAGGGAAAUACAAACCAGAAACGCAAUGAGAUAUCACCUUGCCCCAGGGAGAAUGGUUAUCAGAAAGACUAAAAGCAUCAAGUGCUGGUGCAGAUGUAGAGAAAAGAGGUGUGUGUGCGUGUGCAUGCGCGUGCGCGUGCGUGUGCGUGUGUGUGUGUGUGUGUGUUAGUGCUGCUAUAAAAAACAAGGGUGGACUUUCUUUUAAAAAUGAAAAAAUAGAUCUGCUGUAUGACCAAAUACCAUCCCACAAGGGCCAAGCAUGGUGGUGCAUGCCUCUAAUCCCAGGACUUGAGGCCGAGGCAGAGGUGAUCAUGAGUUUGAGGCCAGACUGGAUGAAUCUAAACCGGCUAUACAUAAUGAGAGCUUGUCUUC